rnacentral:rRNA from 1 species
CAAUAGCGUAUAUUAAAGUUGUUGCAGUUAAAAAGCUCGUAGUUGGAUUUCUGGUGGGAGCGAUCGGUCUGGCGCUUAGCGCGAGUACUUGCAUCGUCUCCGGCCAUCCUUGGGGAGAGUCUGUCUGGCAUUAAGUUGUCGGGCAGAGGAUCCUCAUCGUUUACUGUGAAAAAAUUAGAGUGUUCAAAGCAGGCUUAUGCCGUUGAAUAUAUUAGCAUGGAAUAAUAAGAUAGGACUUUGGUACUAUUUUGUUGGUUUGCGCACCAAAGUAAUGAUUAAUAGGGACAGUUGGGUGUAUUCGUAUUCCGUUGUCAGAGGUGAAAUUCUUGGAUUUACGGAAGACGAACUACUGCGAAAGCAUUUACCAAGGAUGUUUUCAUUAA